UCCGAAGGGGGCUCUCGUUGUUCGGAAUAACUGGGCGUAAAGCGCACGUAGGCGGACUUGUAAGUUGGGGGUGAAAGCCCAGGGCUCAACCCUGGAACUGCCUCCGAUACUGCAAGUCUCGAGUCCGGGAGAGGUGAGUGGAAUUCCUAGUGUAGAGGUGAAAUUCGUAGAUAUUAGGAAGAACACCAGUGGCGAAGGCGGCUCACUGGCCCGGUACUGACGCUGAGGUGCGAAAGCGUGGGGAGUAAACAGG
rnacentral:rRNA from 1 species